rnacentral:rRNA from 1 species
UCAUUCCGAACACAGAAGUUAAGCUCUCUAGCGCUGAUGGUACUUGGUGGGAAACUGCCUGGGAGAGUAGGACGUAGCCACGU